rnacentral:rRNA from 1 species
AACGCUAGCUACAGGCUUAACACAUGCAAGUCGAGGGGCAGCACGGGAGUAGCAAUACAACUGGUGGCGACCGGCGCACGGGUGAGUAACGCGUAUGCAACCUACCUAUCAGAGGGGAAUAACCCGGCGAAAGUCGGACUAAUACCGCAUAAAACAGGGGCACCGCAUGGUGAUAUUUGUUAAAGAGAUUCGCUGAUAGAUGGGCAUGCGUUCCAUUAGGUAGUUGGUGAGGUAACGGCUCACCAAGCCGACGAUGGAUAGGGGAACUGAGAGGUUGGUCCCCCACACUGGUACUGAGACACGGACCAGACUCCUACGGGAGGCAGCAGUGAGGAAUAUUGGUCAAUGGGCGGGAGCCUGAACCAGCCAAGUCGCGUGAAGGAAGAAGGAUCUAUGGUUCGUAAACUUCUUUUGCAGGGGAAUAAAGUGCAGGACGUGUCCUGUUUUGUAUGUACCCUGAGAAUAAGGAUCGGCUAACUCCGUGCCAGCAGCCGCGGUAAUACGGAGGAUCCGAGCGUUAUCCGGAUUUAUUGGGUUUAAAGGGUGCGUAGGUGGUUUGAUAAGUCAGCGGUGAAAGUUUGCAGCUUAACUGUAAAAAUGCCGUUGAAACUGUCGGACUUGAGUGCAAAUGAGGUAGGCGGAAUGCGUGGUGUAGCGGUGAAAUGCAUAGAUAUCACGAAGAACUCCGAUUG